rnacentral:misc_RNA from 1 species
UGGCUCUCGCAUCGAUGAAGAACGCAGCGAAAUGCGAUAAGUAAUGUGAAUUGCAGAAUUCAGUGAAUCAUCGAAUCUUUGAACGCACCUUGCGCCUUUUGGUAUUCCAAAAGGCAUGCCUGUUUGAGUGUCAUGUGGACUCAACCCUCGAGGUUUUUCCUCUUGGGCUUGGACUUGGGUGUCUGCCUGCCCGGCUCGCCUUAAAAGUGUUAGUGGGAUAACCAAACACCCGAUGUAAUAAGUUUCAUCUGGUCUAGGCGACUCUUACUCAUAACCCCCAUAUUACAUUUCUGACCUCAAAUCAGGUAGGACUACCCGCUGA